AGCCCUGCAUGUCUAAGUAUAGCAACUAUACGGUGAAACUGCGAAUGGCUCAUUAAAUCAGUUAUCGUUUAUUUGAUAGUACCUUACUACAUGGAUAACCGUGGUAAUUCUAGAGCUAAUACAUGCUAAAAACCUCGACUUCGGAAGGGGUGUAUUUAUUAGAUAAAAAACCAAUGCCCUUCGGGGCUCCUUGGUGAAUCAUAAUAACUUAACGAAUCGCAUGGCCUUGCGCCGGCGAUGGUUCAUUCAAAUUUCUGCCCUAUCAACUUUCGAUGGUAGGAUAGUGGCCUACCAUGGUAUCAACGGGUAACGGGGAAUUAGGGUUCGACUCCGGAGAGGGAGCCUGAGAAACGGCUACCACAUCCAAGGAAGGCAGCAGGCGCGCAAAUUACCCAAUCCCGACACGGGGAGGUAGUGACAAUAAAUACUGAUACAGGGCUCUUUUGGGUCUUGUAAUUGGAAUGAGUACAAUUUAAAUCCCUUAACGAGGAACAAUUGGAGGGCAAGUCUGGUGCCAGCAGCCGCGGUAAUUCCAGCUCCAAUAGCGUAUAUUAAAGUUGUUGCAGUUAAAAAGCUCGUAGUUGAACCUUGGGCCUGGCUGGCCGGUCCGCCUCACCGCGUGUACUGGUCCGGCCGGGCCUUUCCUUCUGGGGAACCUCAUGCCCUUCACUGGGCGUGUUGGGGAACCAGGACUUUUACUUUGAAAAAAUUAGAGUGUUCAAAGCAGGCCUUUGCUCGAAUACAUUAGCAUGGAAUAAUAGAAUAGGACGUGUGGUUCUAUUUUGUUGGUUUCUAGGACCGCCGUAAUGAUUAAUAGGGAUAGUCGGGGGCAUCAGUAUUCAAUCGUCAGAGGUGAAAUUCUUGGAUUGAUUGAAGACUAACUACUGCGAAAGCAUUUGCCAAGGAUGUUUUCAUUAAUCAGUGAACGAAAGUUAGGGGAUCGAAGACGAUCAGAUACCGUCGUAGUCUUAACCAUAAACUAUGCCGACUAGGGAUCGGACGGUGUUAGUAUUUUGACCCGUUCGGCACCUUACGAGAAAUCAAAGUUUUUGGGUUCUGGGGGGAGUAUGGUCGCAAGCUAA
rnacentral:rRNA from 1 species